rnacentral:rRNA from 1 species
GACGAACGCUGGCGGCGUGCUUAACACAUGCCAGUCGAGCGAACAGGCCCGGCGUUUGCGGGGUGCUCGAGUGGGGCGCGGGGGAGAAACACGCGAGUAUCCUGCCCUUGACUUUGGGAUAACUUUAGGGAAAUGCGGCUAAUACCGGAUAGGAGCUCCUGCUGCAUGGUGGGGAAUGGAAAGAUUCGGCGGUUGGGGAUGUACUCGAGGCGUAUCAGCCUGUUGGGAGGGUAGUGGCUUACCAAGUUUUCGACGGGUAGCCGACGUGAGAGGGGGAUCGGCCACACUGGAGCUGGACCGCGGUCCAGACUCCUAAGAGAGGCAGCAGUAGCGAACGUUCCGCAACGGGCGAGAGCAUGACGCAACGACGCCGAGUCUGUUAUGAAGGUCUUGGGUUCGUAAUGCUCGGUUAUUAGGGAAGAACAGCUGUCGACUUAGACAUGCACGUAUUGACGGUACCUAAUCAGAAAGCAACGGCUAACUACGUG